GGAGGCACUGCCUUGGCCAGCUUCCUGCCAUUCAGCCGGGAGCCGGGCCCCGGGGAGGGCUCGCGCUGGGAAAACAAAUGCGCGAGGGAAGGACCAGGAGGAGGAAGUGGCAGCUAGGACGCUCCAAAGGGACCGCGGCUAAGCCACGGCCAACGCUGCAGAGCAGGAAGCGGAGCACAAACAGGAUCUGAGCGAGAAAAUUUGCCUGAAAACCAAGCUCAUCUUGCUGGGAUUCCUUCCUGAGAAGCAGUUUUCCCCUCUCCACUGAAACUCUCCACAGUCCACCAAUGAUUCCUCUUCACUUCUGCUCCUCAAGAGCUAGAUUUAAAGAAGCUAUUUGAAAUAAUAUACUUCCUUCUUUGUGAUUGAACCUAUGGUGGUAAUAAAACAAAAAAAUAAAGAACAGCUGUGCAGAGAUGUGACCAUGACUCCAUAAUUUCCAGUUAACUUUGAACAACAACAAAAGGCUGAAAUGCAAGAAAAUUAAAAUCUUCCUUGGAGCAAAGAUUCUGGUAUACGCCUCCUGGCUCCUAAUGAAAGUUAUCUCUUCUGGAGCAAGCCUCACCUCAGGACGAAAGCAGAAAGGAGUUGAACACUGACUUAAGGAAAGUGUAUAGAUUCCUAUCUUAUGUAAAGUGCAUGAAGACAAACAUUUUUAUUAUUUUAAAUAAA